rnacentral:misc_RNA from 1 species
GGAAUUACUUAUUUAUUUUUUUACUCCCCGUCCGCAGCAGUGGAAGGGUUAAUUCACACCUUCUUCAGAAAAGCGGCAAACUACAAUACUAAAAAAACGAUGAAUGCAGUGCAAACAAGACGCGAAGAUCAAAGAGUCCACCACUCUUGAUGACUGUUGCAGUUUCAGGGUUACUUAUGCGAAGAGGGUGGCGAAGGCUGUGACAAAACCCUAUAUCAAUCAAAACCUCUUGACUUGGAGGCCACAGUGCAUGGGACAAUCUCCAAAUGUUACUUCCAGUAAACUGCAUGC